rnacentral:rRNA from 1 species
GAUGAACGCUGGCGGCGUGCCUAAUACAUGCAAGUCGAACGAGUUCUUGUUGAUGAUCGGUGCUUGCACCAAGAUUCAACAUGGAACGAGUGGCGGACGGGUGAGUAACACGUGGGUAACCUGCCCUUAAGUGGGGGAUAACAUUUGGAAACAGAUGCUAAUACCGCAUAGAUCCAAGAACCGCAUGGUUCUUGGCUGAAAGAUGGCGUAAGCUAUCGCUUUUGGAUGGACCCGCGGCGUAUUAGCUAGUUGGUGAGGUAAUGGCUCACCAAGGCGAUGAUACGUAGCCGAACUGAGAGGUUGAUCGGCCACAUUGGGACUGAGACACGGCCCAAACUCCUACGGGAGGCAGCAGUAGGGAAUCUUCCACAAUGGACGCAAGUCUGAUGGAGCAACGCCGCGUGAGUGAAGAAGGCUUUCGGGUCGUAAAACUCUGUUGUUGGAGAAGAAUGGUCGGCAGAGUAACUGUUGUCGGCGUGACGGUAUCCAACCAGAAAGCCACGGCUAACUACGUGCCAGCAGCCGCGGUAAUACGUAGGUGGCAAGCGUUAUCCGGAUUUAUUGGGCGUAAAGCGAGCGCAGGCGGUUUUUUAAGUCUGAUGUGAAAGCCCUCGGCUUAACCGAGGAAGCGCAUCGGAAACUGGGAAACUUGAGUGCAGAAGAGGACAGUGGAACUCCAUGUGUAGCGGUGAAAUGCGUAGAUAUAUGGAAGAACACCAGUGGCGAAGGCGGCUGUCUGGUCUGUAACUGACGCUGAGGCUCGAAAGCAUGGGUAGCGAACAGGAUUAGAUACCCUGGUAGUCCAUGCCGUAAACGAUGAAUGCUAGGUGUUGGAGGGUUUCCGCCCUUCAGUGCCGCAGCUAACGCAUUAAGCAUUCCGCCCGGGGGAGUACGACCGCAAGGUUGAAACUCAAAGGAAUUGACGGGGGCCCGCACAAGCGGUGGAGCAUGUGGUUUAAUUCGAAGCAACGCGAAGAACCUUACCAGGUCUUGACAUCUUUUGAUCACCUGAGAGAUCAGGUUUCCCCUUCGGGGGCAAAAUGACAGGUGGUGCAUGGUUGUCGUCAGCUCGUGUCGUGAGAUGUUGGGUUAAGUCCCGCAACGAGCGCAACCCUUAUGACUAGUUGCCAGCAUUUAGUUGGGCACUCUAGUAAGACUGCCGGUGACAAACCGGAGGAAGGUGGGGAUGACGUCAAAUCAUCAUGCCCCUUAUGACCUGGGCUACACACGUGCUACAAUGGAUGGUACAACGAGUUGCGAGGCCGCGAGGUCAAGCUAAUCUCUUAAAGCCAUUCUCAGUUCGGACUGUAGGCUGCAACUCGCCUACACGAAGUCGGAAUCGCUAGUAAUCGCGGAUCAGCACGCCGCGGUGAAUACGUUCCCGGGCCUUGUACACACCGCCCGUCACACCAUGAGAGUUUGUAACACCCGAAGCCGGUGGCGUAACCCUUUUAGGGAACGAGCCGUCUAAGGUGGGACAAAUGAUUAGGGUGAAG